CAACAAAAAAUUGAAAAGGUUAAUGAAUAAUAGAAUAUGCCAAACAUCUAAUAUUUAUUUCAUUCUUGGAGCAAGUAAUAGCUAAGUGGUUAUCUCCCUUGAAUUGUAAUCCAUUGUAGCAUCAUCCUCAAAAACCAAUGAGACACUCCUCAUGUCAUUUGGGAUUUGAGCAAAACUGGUCUCAGGAGUUACUGAUAAUACUGUGGCAUAAAUAUAAGCUGUUCAAUAAAUAUAAAAUAGAUGUAUUGGGGAGGGGGUGGGGAGGUCUUAAGGUCACAGGUAUCACAAGGCCUAUAUGCCCCCACACCCCCUCCCCAAGGGGGCACAAGCCGCACAACAAUUUAAAGUAUAGUAGAGUUAGCAGACUCAUAACAUUUUUUUACAUUUCGCCUUCAUGUUCCUACAACCAGGUUAAUUCCCAGUGAACUAUACCUGUAAGGUCAUCCCUGAAGACGUGUCUGCGACAGCCUUUCUCCGCCCUUCCUUGCCACCACCAUGCCUUUGAGCUGCCUGUUGACUAGCUCUGAUCUCUGACUGGAGGGCUCUGCCAAAUGCUUUCCCGACAACUUGGACCCCAGCUAAGGCAACCUGGAUGAUAUUUUUAAGCUGGAAAAGAAAACAUCCAGACGAAGUAGUAAAUAAAAUCUCAGAAAAAGUAGUUAUGUACAAAGAUAUAAGUUUGAAAAAAAAA